rnacentral:rRNA from 1 species
UACGUAGGGGGCUAGCGUUGUUCGGAAUCACUGGGCGUAAAGCGCACGUAGGCGGAUUUGUCAGUCAGGGGUGAAAUCCCGGGGCUCAACCUCGGAACUGCCUUUGAUACAGCAAGUCUUGAGUUCGAGAGAGGUUGGUGGAAUUCCUAGUGUAGAGGUGAAAUUCGUAGAUAUUAGGAAGAACACCGGUGGCGAAGGCGGCCCACUGGCUCGAUACUGACGCUGAGGUGCGAAAGCGUGGGGAGCAAACAGG